AUUGAACGCUGGCGGCAGGCCUAACACAUGCAAGUCGAACGAGGGGCGGACGGGGGAGGAAUGUAUGGGAAUCUGCCCGAUAGAUAGGGAUAACAACGGGAAACCGUAGCUAAACACGCGUUCUAUCGGCUGACGCGAUAGGGGAGUAGCUGGUAGGGGGGGUAAUGGCUCACCUAGGCGACGAUCCCCAGCCGGUCUGAGAGGAUGAUCAGGCACACUGGGACUGAGACACGGCCCAGACUCCUACGGGAGGCAGCAGUGGGGAAUAUUGCACAAUGGGCGAAAGCCUGAUGCAGCCAUGCCGCGUGGAUGAAGAAGGCCUUCGGGUUGUAAAGUACUUUCAGUCGGGAGGCGUUAUCGACAGAGGAAGCACCGGCUAACUCCGUGCCAGCCGCCGCGGUAAUUC
rnacentral:rRNA from 1 species